UACAGAGGGGGCAAGCGUUGUUCGGAAUUACUGGGCGUAAAGGGCGCGUAGGCGGCCCGCUAAGUCGAACGUGAAAUCCCCGAGCUCAACUCGGGAACUGCGUCCGAUACUGGCGGGCUUGAAUCCGGGAGAGGGAUGCGGAAUUCCAGGUGUAGCGGUGAAAUGCGUAGAUAUCUGGAGGAACACCGGUGGCGAAGGCGGCAUCCUGGACCGGCAUUGACGCUGAGGCGCGAAAGCUAGGGGGAGCAAACGGG
rnacentral:rRNA from 1 species